UACGUAGGGGGCAAGCGUUGUCCGGAAUCAUUGGGCGUAAAGGGUGCGUAGGCGGCGCUGUAAGUCGGGUGUGAAAUUUCGGAGCUUAACUCCGAAACUGCAUUCGAUACUGCGGUGCUUGAGGACUGGAGAGGAGACUGGAAUUCAUGGUGUAGCAGUGAAAUGCGUAGAGAUCAUGAGGAAGACCAGUGGCGAAGGCGGGUCUCUGGGCAUUAACUGACGCUGAGGAGCGAAAGCAUGGGGAGCGAACAGG
rnacentral:rRNA from 1 species